CUCUCAAUUUAUCAAACCUGCCAUAACUCUGAAUCGACAUCACAUCGUUCUCUUAGAAUCAAAACCAUGAUGAAUAUGUGCAAGAAAUCACUCUUUCUUAGGGCAAAAGCCACCAUCCUUUUGUUCCUGAUCCUUGCUGCAAGUGCUACUCUUGUAGUUGCAACUAGGACUUCUAGUUUCAUGAUGACCAUGAUGACAGAAAUUGAAGCAAGCAGCACGGAUGUUACCCAAAUUAGUAACCUUCCAAUUCAAACAUUUAGUCCUAGUCCUUAUCCUUGCAGUUUCCAGCCUGGAGAUGGGCAAUGCAAACCUCCUAAGUGAUUCAUGCUACAUACUGUCCAUCAAGCAUCUAGCUAGUUAUAUAAAUACAUGGAUCAUAUUGAUGAUGGAGGUGGAGAGAACACAAGUGGAGACUAGAGAAUGUUUCAAGGAGACUAGACUGACCAUUUGUAUGCAUAUUAUGCAGUAUACCUUUGAUAAUUUUUCUCAAAUUAUAUCCUGUUAUUUUGCUAUGUUUUAGCUGUCAAGAAAUGGUUGAAAUUGAAC